GGAAUUUUUCGCAAUGGGGGAAACCCUGACGAAGCAACGCCGCGUGGAGGAUGAAGGCCUUCGGGUCGUAAACUCCUGUCGACCGGGACGAAAACAGUCUGACCCAAUACGUCGGGCUGUCGACUGUACCGGUGGAGGAAGCCACGGCUAACUCUGUGCCGGCAGCCGCGGUAAUACAGAGGUGGCAAGCGUUGUGCGGAAUUACUGGGCGUAAAGGGCGCGUAGGCGGUCUUGAAAGUUCCGUGUGAAAUCCCUCGGCUCAACUGAGGAACUGCACGGGAAACUGCAAGGCUUGAGUUCGGGAGAGGGAAGCGGAAUUCCGGGUGUAGCGGUGAAAUGCGUAGAUAUCCGGAGGAACACCGGUGGCGAAGGCGGCUUCCUGGACCGACACUGACGCUGAGGCGCGAAAGCUAGGGGAGCAAA
rnacentral:rRNA from 1 species